rnacentral:rRNA from 1 species
CCUACGGGAGGCUGCAGUGAGGAAUAUUGGUCAAUGGACGAGAGUCUGACCCAGCGAAGUAGCGUGAAGGAUGACUGCCCUAUGGGUUGUAAACUUCUUUUAUAUGGGAAUAAAAUGUUCCACGUGUGGGACUUUGUAUGUACCAUAUGAAUAAGGAUCGGCUAACUCCGUGCCAGCAGCCGCGGUAAUACGGAGGGUACGAGCGUUAUCCGGAUUUAUUGGGUUUAAAGGGAGCGUAGGUUGAUUGUUAAGUCAGUUGUGAAAGUUUGCGGCUCAACCGUAGAAUUGCAGUUGAAACUGGCAGUCUUGAGUACAGUAGAGGUGGGCGGAAUUCGAGGUGUAGCGGUGAAAUGCUUAGAUAUCACGAAGAACUCCGAUUGCGAAGGCAGCUAACUGGACUGCAACUGACGCUGAGGCUCGAAAGUGUGGGUAGCAAACAGGAUUAGAUACCCCUGUAGUC